rnacentral:rRNA from 1 species
GACGAACGCUGGCGGCGUGCCUAAUACAUGCAAGUAGAACGCUGAAGGAGGAGCUUGCUUCUCUGGAUGAGUUGCGAACGGGUGAGUAACGCGUAGGUAACCUGCCUGGUAGCGGGGGAUAACUAUUGGAAACGAUAGCUAAUACCGCAUAAUAGUAGAUGUUGCAUGACAUUUGCUUAAAUGGUGCAAUUGCAUCACUACCAGAUGGACCUGCGUUGUAUUAGCUAGUUGGUGGGGUAACGGCUCACCAAGGCGACGAUACAUAGCCGACCUGAGAGGGUGAUCGGCCACACUGGGACUGAGACACGGCCCAGACUCCUACGGGAGGCAGCAGUAGGGAAUCUUCGGCAAUGGACGGAAGUCUGACCGAGCAACGCCGCGUGAGUGAAGAAGGGUUUCGGAUCGUAAAGCCCUGUUGUAAGAGAAGAACGAGUGUGAGAGUGGAAAGUUCACACUGUGACGGUAUCUUACCAGAAAGGGACGGCUAACUACGUG